UUCUCCUUUGGGAACGCCUCCGAGUC
rnacentral:piRNA from 1 species